rnacentral:rRNA from 1 species
UACAGAGGAGCCAAGCGUUGUCCGGAUUGACUGGGCGUAAAGCGCACGCAGGCGGUUGCGCGCGUGGGGUGUGAAAUCUGGCCGCUUAACGGCCAGGCGCCAUCCCAUACGGCGCGACUGGAGUACUGCAGGGGAGACUGGAAUUCCUGGUGUAGCGGUGGAAUGCGCAGAUAUCAGGAGGAACACCAGUGGCGAAGGCGGCUCACUGGCCCGGUACUGACGCUGAGGUGCGAAAGCGUGGGGAGCAAACAGG